UACGAGUGGAGCGAGCGUUGUUCGGAAUCACUGGGCGUAAAGCGUGCGCAGGCGGUCAUGCAAGUCAGGAGUGAAAUCCCAGGGCUCAACCUUGGAAUUGCUCUUGAAACUGCAUGACUAGAAUCCCGGAGAGGUUGGCGGAAUUCUCAGUGUAGAGGUGAAAUUCGCAGAUAUUGAGAGGAACACCAGUGGCGUAAGCGGCCAACUGGACGGGUAUUGACGCUCAGGCACGAAAGCGUGGGGAUCAAACAGG
rnacentral:rRNA from 1 species